rnacentral:rRNA from 1 species
CGUGCCUAAUACAUGCAAGUAGAACGCUGAAGCUUGGUGCUUGCACCGAGCGGAUGAGUUGCGAACGGGUGAGUAACGCGUAGGUAACCUGCCUGGUAGCGGGGGAUAACUAUUGGAAACGAUAGCUAAUACCGCAUAACAGUCGACAUUGCAUGAUGUUGAUUUGAAAGGGGCAAAUGCUCCACUACCAGAUGGACCUGCGUUGUAUUAGCUAGUUGGUGAGGUAACGGCUCACCAAGGCAACGAUACAUAGCCGACCUGAGAGGGUGAUCGGCCACACUGGGACUGAGACACGGCCCAGACUCCUACGGGAGGCAGCAGUAGGGAAUCUUCGGCAAUGGACGGAAGUCUGACCGAGCAACGCCGCGUGAGUGAAGAAGGUUUUCGGAUCGUAAAGCUCUGUUGUAAGAGAAGAACGAGUGUGAGAGUGGAAAGUUCACACUGUGACGGUAACUUACCAGAAAGGGACGGCUAACUACGUGCCAGCAGCCGCGGUAAUACGUAGGUCCCGAGCGUUAUCUGGAUUUAUUGGGCGUAAAGCGAGCGCAGGCGGUUAGAUAAGUCUGAAGUUAAAGGCUGUGGCUUAACCAUAGUACGCUUUGGAAACUGUUUAACUUGAGUGCAGAAGGGGAGAGUGGAAUUCCAUGUGUAGCGGUGAAAUGCGUAGAUAUAUGGAGGAACACCGGUGGCGAAAGCGGCUCUCUGGUCUGUAACUGACGCUGAGGCCCGAAAGCGUGGGGAGCAAACAGG